AUACGGAGGGUGCAAGCGUUAAUCGGAAUUACUGGGCGUAAAGCGCGCGUAGGUGGUCUGUUAUGUCAGAUGUGAAAGUCCACGGCUCAACCGUGGAAGUGCAUUUGAAACUGGCAGACUUGAGUACUGGAGGGGGUAGUGGAAUUCCCGGUGUAGAGGUGAAAUUCGUAGAUAUCGGGAGGAAUACCGGUGGCGAAGGCGACUACCUGGCCAGAUACUGACACUGAGGUGCGAAAGCGUGGGGAGCGGACAGGAUUAGAAACCCGAGUAGUCC
rnacentral:rRNA from 1 species